rnacentral:rRNA from 1 species
GACGAACCGUGCGAACGUUGUUCGGAAUCACUGGGCGUAAAGGGCGCGUAGGCGGAUCUUUAAGUCGGGGGUGAAAGCCCAGGGCUCAACCCUGGAAUUGCCUUCGAUACUGAAGAUCUCGAGACCGGAAGAGGUUAGUGGAACUGCGAGUGUAGAGGUGAAAUUCGUAGAUAUUCGCAAGAACACCAGUGGCGAAGGCGGCUAACUGGUCCGGUUCUGACGCUGAGGCGCGAAAGCGUGGGGAGCAAACAGG